CUCCAUCACCUGUUUUCAGGGAGAACAGCAUUUACUAUACAGAGCUGUAGUUCUGUCAUUUUAUCUUCAUGGGACCGAGAUGGCUUAUGGUGUCCGUGAGGAGCAGAGAUUGAGAGGUAGCCUACAGAAGAGUUUAAAAGUUUCUCAUUGCUGGUUUGAUUUCAAGACUCAACUUGUUCAUUAACAAUGCAGGUCAAUCAUCCUGGCACGCGUUCAGAGCCUACUGCUACAGCAAACUGUGUAAUGUGCUCUUUACCCGUGAGUUAGCAAACUGACUGGAAGGGGCGAGUGUCACUUGCCAUUGCCUGCAUCCAGGUUAGUUGGGCAUCAUUUUUUUUUUUUGUCUGCUAUUGUCACAAGUUUUAUUAUUCCUUUCCCCCCUACAUUUUCUUUAUUGUCUCAUCUUUAUAAGUGUUA